AAACAACUCCCUCAUCCUCCUUCUCCUCCUGUUCCACCCCCUCCCCGUACUCAUACUCUUGCAAUUUCUUACUAUCUUCUUCUUCUUAUUCAUCAUCAUUAUAAUCAUCUCUCUUUCUAAAUCUACCAGCAAAGGAAACUGAUUUGGGUGAUUUCGAGAUGAAAUAGAUGAAGAAGAGAUGGUUAAUGCUGAGAAGAAGAAGUAAUGAAACAAAUUAUUGUUGAUUGUAGACCCGCAGAUGAAGAAGAAAUUGGUUUAUGAAGAAAAAAGAUGGUUGAAUGGAUAAUUGCAGCAGAUUCGUGAAGACCUAGGGUUUGGUGGUAAUGAACAGCUGGAUGGAAGAUGGGUUUUAGGUUGAUUUUAGUUUGAACUCCAGUUGCUAAAUCAAGAGUUGUUUGUGGUGGUUGUGCUCAAGAGACUCAAGAGGAAUCAAAACAACUGUUUCAAUGGUUUUCUUGAGCUGGAUUUGUAUUUUGAGAUAAGUAGAAGGGUUAGAUGAAUGUUAGGACAGGGAUGAAGCAAUUAUUGUUGGUGGUUCUGGUUUGUGAUGAAUUCAGAAAUGCGGGAAGACAUUGCAACUGGGUUGGUUGUUCAUGAUCUUUUUUCUUUGUAUUUUGGAGAAUUUUUGAUGAAUUUAUGUAUUUUAUGGUUUAAUUUGAGAUGUGAGUUUGUUAACUUGUUUUAAUUUUGAAUUCACAACAAAAUUAAUCAAAUGAGAAAUCUUUCUUGUUUGCAGCAAUUAAGACAGGUAAUUUGAUGUGGUUUUGGUUUGGCUCAGCAAUUGAUUUACUUACUUGAGUCAGUAAGAGAAGUGUUACCCCAGGUACUAAUAAGUUUGUACGGGAUCGUGGAAUUGAUGCUGAACUAUAAAAUCAUAGAACAUCCGUGUUCUGAUAACAACAGAUGUCUGGACUUGUGGGAUUGAUGCUCAACAGCUGGUGGAAUCGUUGCUUGGCGAGGUUACAGACGAGUUCGAACGUUGCUUGGCGACCCAAAAUGAAUCUAUUUUGUGUUUCUCUAAGUUGGUGUGAUCUUAUACUAGAAAUAUUGAUAGUACUUGGAAUUGAAAGAAUGGGGAUGGGUUUGGAAGAAAUGUUGCACUACGACUGCAUGCCAAUGGAUCCGAGUUUGUUGCAAUGCUGCGAGGACAUCUUACUAUACUGGGAGAGUGCAUUGAAUGGACAACAGCUGCUGAAUCAUCUAGAGCAACACUUGUGUCUCAUUUAAAAGAAGCUCUCUAGGAACAGGAAAUGAAGAUGGAACAAGUAUGCAGUCAGCUUUCAUGUAAUAACUGAGCACUUCAAUAUGAUGACUUCUGGAGUCAAUAUUUUCUUUCAAGGAUUUUGGAGGAGGAGCACGCUUGGAAGUGUACAAGGAACUUAAAGCUUUGUGACCUUGAAGGAUAUAGGUUGUAUUUUUACUGGCCUGAAUAUAUUGUUCAAAUGGAAGACUUUGUUGUUCAGUGCG